UUUUAAAAACUGAUUUGCCGUCGUUCACUUGCGAAACCGCCCAACUUUUCAGUCAGGACGUCAAGGAUUUUGAAAUAAAGAAAAAAUAUCAUAUUUUGUGGAAGAAAUCCCCAGAGGACCAGGGACAAUACUACAAAGCACAGAUAUUAAAAUUGGCUGAAACUAAAGAGGAAUUAACUCGUGAGAGAAUCUCGAUACCCCCACUCGAUAGUGAUGAGGAAGACCGGUCAUCCUCGAGAAGGUCCAUGAAUCCAUCUUGUGACAACACAAAUGACAAGAAAAAAAAAAAGGCAGCAGUUCAAAGCAUACAAAAAAGGAAGAAUUUAAUGGAUAUCCUAAAAGAAAAGAAAAAAGUUAUCCAGACCAGUUUUGAAUCACAAGAGGAACAUGUCCCCAUGGCUGUGCACAAGGAACUGCAAGACAAAUAUUACAACCUCAAAAAAAGGAUGCGAGAGGAGGAGAUGGCUAAUGAAGAAAAUGGGAAAAAAAUUAAAUGCUUAAAAGAAGAGAAAAGGGACAUGAAGGCUGAACUGCAGCAACUAAGGUGGUUAAACCUAAAUCUCCAAGAGGAGCUUUUCCAAAAAAAAAAAAUAACACAGAAUGAGACCUCUUCUGCAGUCCAUACUCCACUCCCACAACAGCCAUUUCAUGGUCCAGAAAAACUAGCAGAAGAGCAAACAGACAUGAUACCCAAAAUAAAACGAAAAGAACCACAGACCUCUUCUGCAGGCCACACUCAACUCCCACAGCAACCAGUUCUUGGUCCAGAAGAACCAGAAGAGGAGCUAAGACACAGCGAUGGCAAGGUAUUUUCUAACUGUAAUUGUAUUUGUAGUUACAACAUUACAAACACGUUACAAAACUAAGCAAC
ensembl:lncRNA